CAUCGGCGUACAUCACCGGGAACGUGUUCCCAUCGAGGUGCCGAGAGGGGCAAGCCUCGGCAACAGCGCAUUAUGCGGAAAGCCGGAACAUCAAGUGUUCGGGUAGGGUUUGGUAGGCGCAAGCUCGAAGAACCCGGACCCG
rnacentral:sRNA from 12 species